GAGGACCCAUCAGUCCCGCUUCUCACAAUGAGGUUCCCUGCUCAGCUGCUGGGGCUGCUGGUGCUCUGGAUCCCAGGAUCCAGUGGGGAUGUCGUACUGACUCAGACCCCAGGGUCCCUGCCCAUCACCCUUGGACAGCCGGCCUCCAUCUCCUGCAGGGCCAGUCAGAGCCUCGUGCACAGUGAUGGAAACACCUAUUUACAUUGGUACCUGCAGAAGCCAGGCCAGUCUCCACGGCUCCUCAUCUAUAAGGUUUCUAAUCGGGCCUCUGGGGUCCCAGACAGGUUCAGUGGCAGCGGAUCAGGGACAGAUUUCACCCUGAGAAUCAGCAGGGUGGAGGCUGAGGACAUUGGAGUCUAUUACUGCCAGCAAGGUACACACGCUCCUCCCACAGUGAUUCAGCCCCGAACACAAACCUCCCUCCUGUCACGGCCCCGCUGCCCACACGUGCUGUUGUUCUGGGGAGCAGGCACCGCACAUCCUGAGUCUGAGGAAGAAGACGCUAGAGACCCCAGGGGACUAGGUGGCAGCUGCGGGCUCUGGGUCACAGAGGCCUCGGAGGCAGCUCAGGAGGCUGAGCUUCUCAGGGCGGCAGCAGCAGCUGUGGUGACAGAGGACCACAACGUUCUGAUGGCCAUUCAGCCCCCACCCUCUGAGAUGGCCUCUGAGUACACAAGCCUGCCCCGCCUUUGA